UCUUGAAUAACAAUUACUUACAAAUCUUUCCUGUUUUUUGAUGUUAAUUUUCAUUUGAUAUUCUAUUUUUAAUAGGCUUGCAGAAGGACGAGGAAAGAUUGCUUUCGUUUGAAUUCCUAAGGAAAUAAUGAAUACUUUGAGGAAGAGUUUUGUUGCUUUUGAAAAAUAGAGCAACUAGAAGAGUACUUUUGCGUCAUCAAAUCAUCUCAGACGUUCCAAAUACUCUUAGUCUAAUAAAUCCCAUAACGUGACCGCAUAUGGUAUGGAUUUUUUACCGCUACGCAAGUGUUUAUACCCCUCGAAGAAAGCACACCUGUGGAAUGUGUCAAACUUUUUUUUUCCAUACUCAACAUCUCGGGACCACUUACGUAGGCAUAGAUCCGCCACCGUAUGGAAUUCGUACGUGGGCACACUCGGCAUCCGGACAGUCUCUUUUUUUUUUUUCUUCUUCUUCUUUUUCACCUCUCCAUUUCGACUUUACACGCUCUCAUCACGGUGCUGGCGCCGAUAAAUAACUCAUCCCACUUCUUUUCAUUCUCUCUAAACGCAUUUCGUCUUUUGAUCGGCCUUCAAAAUCCAAUUCGACCGCGUCAUUAAUCAGCAAAGGUCGCUCGGUAUGCAAAUUGAAAUUUCGUCGGUACACAAUGAAAUGGCAUUCAUUCGGGAAUUCCAUUCUGGCCAGUGUUCAUUUUUCUAUCCUGCAUUCCUUCAUCUUCGUCGUUAAUACAUAUAUGUAUAUAUAUUUCUGAUUAAAAUUUCGAAUGUCAGACAGGAACUUUCCAUCUGGUCUUGCCGAAUUUUUUAUGCUAAUCUCAACAGUUGUUCUCUCUUCUUCUUUUUCUUUUAAAUGAAUUUGUAAUUGCAAUUUUAAUAAUAUGAAAUGAAUUCUUUUAGGCUGCUGCAGUUGAUGGAAAAUAAUAAUAAACGAUAUUAAUUAAUUCCAAUUAAAAAAGCAAUUGAAAUACCGGAAACGCUACAAACAUUUGAUACAUUAAACCAAACAGAAACAUCAGAGACAUUAAUAUACAAUAGUCUGAUUAGCAAGUGAAAUUUAAUUGAAACGAUGCUCAAGAGUUAAAAUAGACAAUGGUGGGAACUUUAGUGUCUUAAUCCUUUGGAGAUGGGUAAUAAUUAAUAAAAAGCUGGCUGCACCAAUGGCGAGUAUCAAGCCCAGAAAGAAUGUGUCUAAGAAACCUGUUUGGGGAGAGCCAAUAUCUUACGAGGUCCUCUUCUCUUUCUCCUGUUCUUGCUACUCGUGAUGAACACACGUGUGCAGCUUCUCGUGUGCAUUGCGACACGCAGAGCUUACCCCGAAUGCUCAGGUGUUAGCAGAUAGUCCCCUUUUUACCUUUUGCGUCUUCGACUGCCUUUUGCAUCCACCGUGGAAGCUUCUUCAUUAUUGUUCGAUUAGAAAGGACUGAAGAUCCAUUAGAAGCGAUUAACGUUUGCGAAAAGGUAUCUUGAAAAGUUAGAAGAUAUGCAAUUUUUAUCAAGAGGCAUAUGAUUAAAUCCGGGAUGCGCAUCUUCAGAUAUAAAUCAUUUACUCUGCGGUUGGGUCAGAAUGACCUUACAUCCGGCGUGGAUGGGUUAACGACAUAAAUCCAAAACCUAACAGCUCAUGAUACAAUUACUCGUCCUUGCGAAUGGAGAAUUAGGUGCACGUGUACCUCGAUUCUCCGAAGCUAUUCACGUUAAUAGCAACCUCUCUGUCGCGGUUGCACAACUGUCUCAGAGUUACACAAAAGUGAUAUAUUUCACCGUAGCCUGUCAGCUUUUCGCUUCCUCUCGCUCCAGUCUAUCCCCGUAUCAUUAUCGAUGAAAUUUUCAGCGAGUUCUGAAUAAAAACCACGAAGCGGUUCGUUUAGCUACCUCAGCCGCAUAGAUGCCGAUCCUACGAGUAGCAAUUAACGUGACGGUAAACGAGAAGCAAUUAAAUUGAUCGUACAUUUAGAAUCGCAAUAACACAAUAGUUAUUUGAUGUGGAAUGCUGUUCCUGAAUGUUUGAUCAUUGAAAAAUCAUCCUGGAAGAAAAUGGAUCAUUUGGGAUCCAGUUGAAGCUACUACAUCAUGAAUAUUAAUUAUACAAAAUUGAUCUUUAUCAAUCGUAUUCGAUAUUGAUUAUGAGGCACGAAAAAUACAAAGACGAUAGAUCCUUCUAAAUGAGAUGAAACGACAAUAUCGUCAGAAAUAUUCAAUAAGGAAAAUUACACAAUUUCAUAUUCAAUCUGGUACCGGAGGCUGGCCAGGACCUUGAUCGUUGAUCGCUAGUUGCCGGUAGCGGUCAUUAUGGUUCGUGACGGUUGCUUCGAGCCUACAAUUAAUAGUAACUACCGCGGAAAAUGUGCUCCGAUAAUAAUUGGCGCGCGUGUCAAUGACGACGGCGCCGUCAAGAUAUGACUCGGUUCUUGAGAAGCUACUUAUUUAUCAUUAUGCAAAGUGGUAGAAUAAGCUGCGAGAGAUGAGCCGUUCAAUGGCG